GCUGGCGGCGUGCCUAAUACAUGCAAGUCGAGCCGAAUCUUUGGGAGCUUGCUCCUAAAGAUUAGCGGCGGACGGGUGAGUAACACGUGGGCAACCUGCCUAUAAGACUGGGAUAACUUCGGGAAACCGGAGCUAAUACCAGAUAAUUCUUUUCUACUCAUGUAGAAAAGCUGAAAGACGGUUUACGCUGUCACUUAUAGAUGGGCCCGCGGCGCAUUAGCUAGUUGGUGAGGUAACGGCUCACCAAGGCCACGAUGCGUAGCCGACCUGAGAGGGUGAUCGGCCACACUGGGACUGAGACACGGCCCAGACUCCUACGGGAGGCAGCAGUAGGGAAUCUUCCGCAAUGGACGAAAGUCUGACGGAGCAACGCCGCGUGAGUGAUGAAGGUUUUCGGAUCGUAAAACUCUGUUGUUAGGGAAGAACAAGUACGAGAGUAACUGCUCGUACCUUGACGGUACCUAACCAGAAAGCCACGGCUAACUACGUGCCAGCAGCCGCGGUAAUACGUAGGUGGCAAGCGUUGUCCGGAAUUAUUGGGCGUAAAGCGCGCGCAGGCGGUCCUUUAAGUCUGAUGUGAAAGCCCACGG
rnacentral:rRNA from 1 species